GGCCUGGGGGCAUCACGGCGGUGCGUGGCGCCUCCGCCGCCUCUUCGGAGCCCUCGCGGCGCUGAUGGUGCUGGGUCACGGCCUGUUCGGUCUC
rnacentral:tRNA from 1 species